AACACGACACACAACCUGUACAGCCUAUAAAAAAGACAGAAAAGAGUGACAUUAAAUCCGACUUACCAGCGUUCCAGGAACAUGUUUAAAAAUUAAACUGGUCACUAAAGGAGGCUGUGGGUGUCUGAAAGUUUUCAUAUCCGUUACCUUCAACCAGUGAUGCAGCACCACAAGCUUUUUGGUCAUUUUUUUUAAUGACACAACAGUCUGAAAAAAAAAAUAAAAAUCCUACUCCUGUUUGUCAAAUAUAAAUGACAUAUAAAUGCCUUUACAAGCAUUUAUACGACCAAUUAAGAUCAGAGUCUAGCUGCUGCUACCACAAACAUUAAUGUGAAAAUUAGUGAAAAAGUUGAUCAAGACCAGAAAGUCUGGGUCAGGUCAGAAUAGAGCAAGUCCGAAAAAUCAUUUGCACAAUCCUGGAUGGCAGAUAUAUAUAUUUUAAACAUCUCAACUUAUAGAAAUAAUGUAUUUAAAUUUAAGAGGUGCUGUAUGACCUAAAAUUCAAUUACAUAAAUGUUGAACUUUUCCUUAAUAUUUGUAGAAGCCUGGGAUGGUGACUCAGUCAAGUUAAACCAUGGAUACAUCUAAAACAAAAACAAAAAAAGAAACACAAGAAAGGACACAUCCUGAACAAAAUCUGCAGCAGAUUUUCUUGUGUUCUUGCAAACUUUACGACAGUUCAGUGUCUCAACUCUUCUGCUGCUAUAAUAUCAAACCUGUAAUCUUCUGUGAACAUCCACCUUUGAGGAAAUAACAUUAAACCUUGCUUAGCAGCGAGCACCAGACUGGACACAGGUGUAAUACCACUUUGCGCCUCAAGAUGGGGUUGUUAAUCACCGUUGCAAACCGUCUGCCCUCAGUCAAACGUGACAAAACAAGUUAGUCUAUUCAGUUUGUUCACCAUGUAAAGCUCUCGUCAUUCAUUAAAGAGUGUAGUUGUUAAAAUAGGAAGCAUUUAGGAAAUAUGCACAACUAAGCCUAAAUUCUCUUCUGGAGAUCCUAGUAUUUCUUCUAGCUAACCAACAUGUUAACUCAUCUUUCUCACAAAGCUAAAUUAUGCAUUUUAUCAGACAGAUCAUGAAAAUGUUUAGUAGAGGAGUUCUCUGAUGCUAUAAACUCAGGUGAGUCUGUCAAAAUGUAUUAAUACUUGAUUUAAAAAGAAAAGAAGCGGCAUUAAAUUGCCUGGGUCUUUAUGGGAAAGUGCUCUUUAACCACUAGAUACGGCGCUGACCCCAUUUGAAAGCAGUCCAAGUAAAGAUGCGUAAAAAGCCUCAACAUAAAUCCGUCCUGUAUUGCAGCAACACAUUCUCAAACAGACGAACGAGGAACAAUGUGACCUUUAAUUUCAGUACAUUUAUUGAGUAGGAACAGAAAUACCACAUAAGGAAAUAAUUGCUUUUUAACAGAAUCAACAGUGGCACAAUCAUUGGUUCCCCUGCUGUACAACCCUCUUUUGGCAAAACAACACAGGGAAACUUGUAGUAAAAUCCAGACUUUAAUUUCACUACAUUAAAUCAGCGGAGAGAAAAGGGAAGUUGAGAAAACAAAACAAAACAAAAAAAACCCUCUCAACUGCAGUAAAGAGUGAUAUCUCUGGAUUACCAAGGUAAAAAUGAAUCUUUGAAACAACCACCAACUCCAUAUGAAUGUGAAGUGAAACAAUUGACAGAUUUUUAGGGAGAAAAACCUUCCUUUCUACUCUUAAGUAUAGUGGAGGAUCUGUGAUGCCGUGGGACUCUUUUCUUCCAAAAGCAAUGUGAGAUUUUAAGAGUGCAUGAAAUAAUUAACUCUCCAGCACACAAUCAGACUUUAAAAGGCUGAUGGUUUCUGUCAGGAAAAUAGACAAUUUAUCAUUAAUGGAUCUCAAAGAUAUGGUGAUUCAAAAUAAAUGUUUUUUAGUUUUUACCAAACAGUAAGACAAACCUUUUCCAUGUCAUACCAAGCAUGUAGGCAACAACAUUGUGAAACGUGAGGAGUGUCGUCCAUAAAGGAUCAAUUACCGGUUCUUCUAUUAACAGAAGAAGAACCAGUAAUUGUGCCACUGGUAAAUUUGUUAAAUAUCAAUUAAAUAUUAAUUAUUACCAAUUAUUACCUAAUGUACAAUUUUCCCCAGUUCGGUUUUUCCUUUUCUUUUUUUUUUCACUGUGUGAGUACGUUACACUGCAGUAGAGGAUGAAUUCAUCUUAAGUUCUAUGUAUUUUUACAGGAAAUGCUACUGAAUGUGACCUUUCUAAUAUUUAGGAUGCAAACUUUCACCCUUCUUGCAAAAAGAACGAAAACAACUCUUACAAACAGCAUGUUUGCGCUUUGUGCCAGCUGUGAAUAAAGGCCUGCCCUAUCAAAUCAAACGUUUACCGAACUAAUUUGGCCUUGUAUAUUUUUUUGAGGCGUCGCCAAAGGAUACAGCCAAACUUCCACAGAGACAAAAUCUCCACCGCUCUCUUGUUGGCAAACAAGCGCGGUCUCACACGCUAACGCCGGACGGUCGCAGACGUGUACGUCAAAAAAAAAAAAAAAAAAAAAAAA